CUCUAAAAGCAGUGGCUGUAUUAUGUAGCCAGUGAGGUUUAUCUGAGGCAUGAUUAUUACUGCUAAUUGAAAACUUUUCCCAGUACCC
rnacentral:snRNA from 1 species